rnacentral:rRNA from 1 species
AGCACAGCCGCGGUAAUACGUAGGGUGCAAGCGUUGUCCGGAAUUAUUGGGCGUAAAGAGCUCGUAGGCGGUUUGUCGCGUCUGCUGUGAAAUCCCGAGGCUCAACCUCGGGCUUGCAGUGGGUACGGGCAGACUUGAGUGCGGUAGGGGAGAUUGGAAUUCCUGGUGUAGCGGUGGAAUGCGCAGAUAUCAGGAGGAACACCGAUGGCGAAGGCAGAUCUCUGGGCCGUAACUGACGCUGAGGAGCGAAAGCGUGGGGAGCGAACAGGAUUAGAUACCCCCGUAGUCCCUGUCUCUUAUACA